rnacentral:rRNA from 1 species
AACGAACGCUGGCGGCGUGCCUAACACAUGCAAGUCGUGCGAGAAAGUUUCCUUCGGGAAGCGAGUAAAGCGGCGCACGGGUGAGUAACACGUAGGUAAUCUGCCUCGUAGUCGGGAAUAACCCGGGGAAACCCGGGCUAAUACCGGAUAAGACCACGAUUGUUCCGGCAGUCGAGGCCAAAGACGGCCACUACACGUAAGCUGUCGCUACGAGAUGAGCCUGCGGCCCAUUAGCUAGUUGGUGGGGUAAUGGCCUACCAAGGCUGUGAUGGGUAGCUGGUCUGAGGGGAUGAUCAGCCACACGGGGACUGAGACACGGCCCAGACUCCUACGGGAGGCAGCAGUGGGGAAUAUUGCGCAAUGGGGGAAACCCUGACGCAGCGACGCCGCGUGGGUGAUGAAGGCCUUCGGGUCGUAAAGCCCUGUCGUAGGGGAAGAACCGGUGGACGGCUAAUACCCGUCUGCCCUGACGGUACCCUACAAGAAAGCACCGGCUAACUCCGUGCCAGCAGCCGCAGUAACAC